CCCACUCUCAGAAUGAAAUUUCACAAAGAGGGGGAAAAGAAUCUUUGAAUGCUCUGCUAGGGCUCUCUUGGGCAAAGAGAAGGGGCCACCGUUUCUUCAUUAGGGUACACGCAGUGCUCAGCCCCGGAGCCUGAGAGUAAGCGAGAUAUGGCAGGGAGGGCGGCGUCGCACUGGAGCCCCCAUCUGCUCUUGGGUGAACCAGGGCGUGGUUGGCUCUCUUAGGCUUAAUUGUCUCUACCGCACACUUGUACGGUUAAAUAACGUAAAGUGCCUGGCAUGUGAUAGGUCCUCAGUAGAAGUGCCCGCUUGGCCCUUGAUUUAUUUUGUGUGAAUGAAAUGCAAUUACAUACAUAAAGGAAAAUGUCACAGCCCAGAAAAAAGCCAGCCAUAAACGGUGUCUAAAUGCACAGGAAGCAGUGUUGUAUCUUGGGGACCAUCCUGGACUUGCCAAGAAUUUUAGGAUCUAGAUUUAUUAGCCUUGACACAGACUAGCUGGGCAUCCCCACUCUCGACCUCAGCUUUGUUACCUGUGAAAUGGAAAGUCGGAUGCUAGAAUCCUCUAGAAGGCAUUCAGCUUCCAGUAACUGAAAACCCACUGAUUAAUGCCUCAACCCAGGGAUUAAAUCCGGCUUGCCACCUGCUUUGGUGCAGCCCAUGACCUGAGAAUAUCUUUACAGUUUAAACAGUUUUAAAAAACCCAAAAAGGAAAUAUUUCAGGACAUUUGAAAACUAUAUGAAAUUCAAAGUCCAGUUUCAUCAAGUUCUGUUGAAAGCCAGUCACAGUCCCUCGUUUACAUAUUGCUCAUAUGUGCUUUCCCACUACAACGGCAAGGUUGAGUCGUUGACUUGAAAAGCUGAAAGUAUUUACUGGCUGGCCAUUUACAGAAAAAAAUUUCCCACUCCCGUCAUAACCAGUAAAGGUAUUUAAUGAUCUCACAUAAGAAGAAACUCAAAAGGACACGACUCUCGGUCUCCAUCCCUGAAGUUCUCUUGGCCUUUUCCUCCUGGUCACCAGAUGGCAGCUUCAGUUCAAUGAGUUACAAUCUACAUCGAAUACAGUAAAGAACAUGGAGAAAAGACUUGCUACGGCUUUUUUGGCCAGGAAAAAAAAACAAAAAAAAAAAACCCCUAUGGCACCUUCCCUUUUCCCAUUGGCCAGAGCUAGGUCACAUGACAAACCCUGGGUUCCCUCACUGGGAGGGGCCAAACUGCGGUAGCCCAAUGGGGCUGCAAAGGACUCACUUUUCUCGAGAAGUGGGGACAAGGGCCAUUUAUACGAAGCCAGCGUCCUGGUCGCACAGAAGAAAGAGGGCAAAGGGCAUGGUGUCAGCCCGAGUCACAAAGGCGCCUUGCACCUCUGGGUAGACGCAGGAUCCUUUUUAGAACUCAAAUCUGAGCGCUCUUUGUUGACUUGAAUCCACUCCGGGAACGCAGGGUGUGUUUGUGAGUGACUUCCUACAUUUAGGAUUGUUUGACCUUCCCUUCCUCCUUUAAGUUUUGCUUGGUUGGUUUGGGGCAUUGCUAUGAAUGAUGUUUCCCGAUGAAAGUCCUUCCCUGAGGCCCCACCUGUGCCUCCAGGUAGGAGAAGGUCGAGGAGUAGGCUGGCGGCAGGAGAAUUUCCCAGGGCACCGUCACCGUCCAGCCAGCUCACAGCUGAACCCAAACAGAGGGAGCGCUCCCCAGGACGGUUAGACUGAAGUCCUGCCCAGCCUCGGAGAGAAGGGGCGAACGCCUGAACUGUUUUGCAGAAAUGCAUCCUGCAAUGCGGCUACUGUUCUACAGAGCCAGGGGGAGAGGAAGCAGAGCUUCAAGUAUCAAAAGGGAACAAUUUUGAAGGCUUCCUGCCUGUACAUCUGGAAAGCUGGAAAGCCAGUUCCCUGGACUCCUCUGCAUCGGGGACCCACGAAUCCAUUGUGUUCACUCGGGACUCAGAGGCGGACAUGAGCUGUGGAAGAAGGUGGCCGCAGGCUGGGAGAGUGGCCUUUUUGAAAAGCACAGAGACAAUGUAUCUGGUCUUGGGUCUUCCGGGGAAAUACAGGAUUUUUGCACAUUCAGUCUCAAACCCCGUGGGUGGCAAUUUGCAGCUGUGAGCAACGGAGGGCUUUCUGUAAACACAGUGGGCUGGAGCAUUUGGGGGUUCUGUUGACCCGAGGGUCGUCCAGUACUCUCCUGGGUCUGAGUAGCAUUCAAGCUUGGUUCUUUGGUCAUGUCCAAAAGUCCGUAAGGAACCCAGUAAAUAAACUUGAAUAGAUGCCUUUCGGUGUGAGUUUGCUAAUGUGGAUUCUGUUGCCUGCAACGAAGGACCUGGACCUAAAUCCCAAGCAAAAUGUUAGAUCGCUGCCGGGCCCCUGGCAAAUUCUCACCACACGUUAGCGAACAUUCUGUGUUACUUGAAUGUCAUGUGGAGAGAAUGACCUAUCUGCUCUGGCUCAGCAGCACAUGUGUGAGAGGCCAACGACUUCUCUCCAACGGAACUGAACUCUCCAAACCCCUCUGUCCUGGGAGUGAAACUGAAUCUUGCCAGUCUGAGAUGAACCGUCAAGGUCAUGUUUUCUCAAGCUCAGUCAGCUAAGGCUUCUUCUCCUCUCCCCUCUGACAUGCUCUCCCGUCAUCCAUGGCCUGGGGGGCACCCAUUUCUCCUCCUCCUCCGGUUCCAUCCGAUGGGGCGUGCAAGGCUGGUGUAAGGUGCCUGGUCUGUGUGCUAACCCCUGCCACGUAAUUCUGCACUCACUGCUGUGACACCUGCCCCACUCUGCUUCCUUAGGUCCCCAGACAUCACUCUGUAUCCCCUCCUCCUAUUGCCAGGCCUCUCCGGGUUCCCCAACCUGCCUGAUUUGUGUCCCCCCCCCCACUGGGAUCCCAGAAAGCUCUUUCUUGCCACUCCAGAGCAGGCGUUCGGGAAGGGAGGCAUCUUUGCCAUUGAGGCACUUUGCCGGGCGCAGAGACCCCAGGAAGGGGUUGCACGUUCUCUAUGCUCUAGGGUCUCCAGCCCUCCGCCACCAGGCCUCGCUGCGGGUCCUCUGGUGUCAUCCACAACUCUCCCUCCCACCUCCUCAGCUUGAACUUUCAUCUUCUUUUGAGCAAGAGCAUAGCUCUUUGACCAUGGAACAUUCUUUCCCACCCUACAGUGUAUCAUAUAAAACCUCUGUUCUGAGUUCUCCAGACGCUUAACUUGAUGGAUCUCUGAGAACAAUGUUUUCUUUCCGUG